ACAAGUCCCUUGCUCACAAGGAUGGAUUUUAUGGAGAAAAUGGGUUUUUACAUGCAACACUAAAGUAAGAGAAAAGGGAAAAUAACUUUUUUUUUUCUCAAAAAUCAAAGUGAAAGACUAUAUAUAACCCUGGUUGUUACACUACUAUCUAAGUCUAUAUUACCAAAAGAACACCUUGAUAGUAAAAAGGGACCUUCAACUGUUGAAAGUCCAACUUUCGACUACCGAAGUUCUUACUGCCCAAAAAAAACCUUAUACUAUUUACUUUGCAAAAACAAACAAACAAACAACCAUUCAUGUAGACUCUAUAACAUAGCAUUUGCACACAUAUAAAACUUACCACUAUUUUCCUUGUCUGUAAAACCCUAAGUUUCAUAAGAAUUUCUCAUUAAUGACUGUAAUUCUGACAUCAAAAAAUGUUAGGUGUUACAAUUCUAUUUUAUUUUCUCUUCUCAUUUACAUUCUCUCAUUUUGUCUAUAUGACAGACACACACAAAAGUACAAUUAGACAUAGAUACAGACACAAGCAUAAACAAACAUUAACAUAGAUAUGAACACAUACAGACAUAAGCACAAAUAAAAACAAAUAGAUAUAUUUACGAGCAUAAACAAACAUAGAGGCAUAGAUAAAGAUAUAUACAGAUAUACAGACAAACAUAGAAUAGACUAACAAAAAAAUAUACAUUUGUAGGUGUAGAUAUACAAACACAAAUAAAUAUAGACAUAAACAUAUUAGAUAUCAAUAGGCAAACACAAAUAAAAAUACAAACAUAGACAUAGAUAGAAGUAGACAUAUACAAACGUAGACAAACAAACACAAACACAAAUAAAGAAACUUACAUAUAUAGAUGCAAAUAGAUAGACAG
rnacentral:misc_RNA from 1 species